rnacentral:rRNA from 1 species
UCAAGAAUAUUCCUCAAUGGCCGAAAGGCUGAAGGAGCGACGCCGCGUGUAGGAUGAAGGUCUUCGGAUUGUAAACUACUUUUAUCGGGGACGAAUUAGUGACGGUACCUGAUGAAUAAGAGGUUGCAAACUCUGUGCCAGCAGCAGCGGUAAUACAGAGACCUCAAGCGUUAUCCGGAUUUAUUGGGCGUAAAGCGUCCGCAGGUGGUUUAGCGGGUUGGAAGUUAAAACUCAACGCUCAACGUUGAGGCUGCUUUCAAAACUACUAGACUAGAGCACGGAAAAGGUCAACGGAAUUCUCGGUGUAGUCGUAAUAAGCGUUGAUAUCGAGAAGAACACCAAAUGCGAAGGCAGUUGACUGGUACGUUGCUGACACUCAGGGACGAAAGCGUGGGGAGCAAACAGG